GCCUUCGUGGUGUAGUGGUCAGCACGCUGGACGCGUAACCGAGAGGUCCGUGGUUCGACUCCCGGCGAAGACG
rnacentral:tRNA from 1 species